AACGCUGGCGGCGUGCCUAAUACAUGCAAGUCGAGCGAACGGACGAGAAGCUUGCUUCUCUGAUGUUAGCGGCGGACGGGUGAGUAACACGUGGAUAACCUACCUAUAAGACUGGGAUAACUUCGGGAAACCGGAGCUAAUACCGGAUAAUAUUUUGAACCGCAUGGUUCAAAAGUGAAAGACGGUCUUGCUGUCACUUAUAGAUGGAUCCGCGCUGCAUUAGCUAGUUGGUAAGGUAACGGCUUACCAAGGCAACGAUGCAUAGCCGACCUGAGAGGGUGAUCGGCCACACUGGAACUGAGACACGGUCCAGACUCCUACGGGAGGCAGCAGUAGGGAAUCUUCCGCAAUGGGCGAAAGCCUGACGGAGCAACGCCGCGUGAGUGAUGAAGGUCUUCGGAUCGUAAAACUCUGUUAUUAGGGAAGAACAUAUGUGUAAGUAACUGUGCACAUCUUGACGGUACCUAAUCAGAAAGCCACGGCUAACUACGUGCCAGCAGCCGCGGUAAUACGUAGGUGGCAAGCGUUAUCCGGAAUUAUUGGGCGUAAAGCGCGCGUAGGCGGUUUUUUAAGUCUGAUGUGAAAGCCCACGGCUCAACCGUGGAGGGUCAUUGGAAACUGGAAAACUUGAGUGCAGAAGAGGAAAGUGGAAUUCCAUGUGUAGCGGUGAAAUGCGCAGAGAUAUGGAGGAACACCAGUGGCGAAGGCGACUUUCUGGUCUGUAACUGACGCUGAUGUGCGAAAGCGUGGGGAUCAAACAGGAUUAGAUACCCUGGUAGUCCACGCCGUAAACGAUGAGUGCUAAGUGUUAGGGGGUUUCCGCCCCUUAGUGCUGCAGCUAACGCAUUAAGCACUCCGCCUGGGGAGUACGACCGCAAGGUUGAAACUCAAAGGAAUUGACGGGGACCCGCACAAGCGGUGGAGCAUGUGGUUUAAUUCGAAGCAACGCGAAGAACCUUACCAAAUCUUGACAUCCUUUGACAACUCUAGAGAUAGAGCCUUCCCCUUCGGGGGACAAAGUGACAGGUGGUGCAUGGUUGUCGUCAGCUCGUGUCGUGAGAUGUUGGGUUAAGUCCCGCAACGAGCGCAACCCUUAAGCUUAGUUGCCAUCAUUAAGUUGGGCACUCUAAGUUGACUGCCGGUGACAAACCGGAGGAAGGUGGGGAUGACGUCAAAUCAUCAUGCCCCUUAUGAUUUGGGCUACACACGUGCUACAAUGGACAAUACAAAGGGCAGCGAAACCGCGAGGUCAAGCAAAUCCCAUAAAGUUGUUCUCAGUUCGGAUUGUAGUCUGCAACUCGACUACAUGAAGCUGGAAUCGCUAGUAAUCGUAGAUCAGCAUGCUACGGUGAAUACGUUCCCGGGUCUUGUACACACCGCCCGUCACACCACGAGAGUUUGUAACACCCGAAGCCGGUGGAGUAACCUUUUAGGAGCUAGCCGUCGAAGGUGGGACAAAUGAUUGGGG
rnacentral:rRNA from 1 species